rnacentral:rRNA from 1 species
GACAGAGGGUGCAAACGUUGUUCGGAAUCACUGGGCGUAAAGGGCGCGUAGGCGGCCGAUCAAGUCGGGGGUGAAAGCCUGUGGCUUAACCACAGAAUGGCCUUCGAUACUGUUUGGCUUGAGACCGGAAGAGGUUAGUGGAACUGCGAGUGUAGAGGUGAAAUUCGUAGAUAUUCGCAAGAACACCAGUGGCGAAGGCGGCUGACUGGUCCGGUUCUGACGCUGAGGCGCGAAAGCGUGGGGAGCAAACAGG